rnacentral:rRNA from 1 species
AUUGAACGCUGGCGGCAUGCUUUACACAUGCAAGUCGAACGGGUAACAGGUCUUCGGAUGCUGACGAGUGGCGAACGGGUGAGUAAUGUAUCGGAACGUGCCCAGUAGUGGGGGAUAACUACUCGAAAGAGUGGCUAAUACCGCAUGAGAACUGAGGUUGAAAGCGGGGGGACCUUCGGGCCUCGCGCUACUGGAGCGGCCGAUAUCAGAUUAGCUAGUAGGUGAGGUAAAGGCUCACCUAGGCGACGAUCCCGUAGCGGGUCUGAGAGGAUGAUCCGCCACACUGGGACUGAGACACGGCCCAGACUCCUACGGGAGGCAGCAGUGGGGAAUUUUGGACAAUGGGGGCAACCCUGAUCCAGCCAUGCCGCGUGACGUGAAGAA